ACUUUGGGGACCUUUUUCUGACAGGGUGACCCACAGUUCAACCGAUGUGAUAUUUGUCGAAUGAUAAUGACUUGGCUGAGGACUUGCGUGGGACCGUCCCAGAUUCAGGAAGCCAUUCAGAAGGCUACAACAGCGGUGUGCUCAAAGAUUCCAGCGGUGGAAAAAGUCUGCAAAGAUAUCCUCACCAGAGUUUUGUGUAGUGUUGCCCAGUUUUUCCUGAAUAGUGAUCCCUCCAGGGAUAUCUGUGUGACCUUCAGGUUGUGCAGAUAUCAAGUAGGUGUCCAAGGAGCUGGGACCUUACUCCACCCCGGGGAGAAGCACAGAGUCUCCAGCAGGCACCGCCAGCUCCUGCCUUCCUAAAUCCAGGACGGACCCUCCAGUUUCUCUCAGCUAGCUCCCUGCAGUGUCGUCCCCUGGCAGGAGAAUAAAAUGUCUUGCAAGCUUUUG